ensembl:lncRNA
CACCAACAUGCCCUUUGUAGGAAAUACCCAUCAGGGAAAGUCCUUUGGGAAUUUAAGUGGCUGUAAAUAUAAUUUGAAACCUAUGACUACCAUUGAAAAAAAGAGUUUUAGUAUGGGUUUGAAAAAUGGGCGACGCCCCUCCUUUUGUUUUUUUGCAACCGGAACUUAGAAUGAAGAUGAAUGUGCUAUAUUUUCCUCGCGGGAGAUUGUGCAUGGCUCAACCACUGAUAGAAUAGAAAGAAGCUCAGAAAAUAGAAAGACCCACGCAAGAUUAAAUGUGGUGGAGGGCGGAGGUCUCGCAGCCUGGGAAAGUAAGCUGCUUUGGCUCUGGUGGCGCUGCAGCUGACACGUAUGUGUUUCUCGCCAGACGCUAGCAGGGUGACCAGGCUGUUACUCGGCUUUUUGGGGGCUUUUUUUCACAGGCUCCUCUUCUCACCCGUAUCAUUGAUGCUCGGGAGGUGGUGGCUGCCAACGAUGUUCUGGGAGGUUUUAACCACACACUGUAGAACACUCAAAUCGCCGGCCGUGUACUCGACAGUUUGUAAUGUUUCCAGUCAGUGGGCUUUACAUUGCUUCUCCGUUAAAGCUAACGAGAACUCGGCACGGGCAUUUGCCCUCACGGUUCCUCAAUAAAUAUAGCCAUUGACGAGUUUUUUUUCCAGAGAUGUUCGAUGACCGUAUCAGAUGAUGCUGAUUGAAGCGGUCGGCUGCUCCACCGUGGUGCAUUUCACAUUGACCUCUGCACGCACAGAGACCGGGCCGGCAGAAAGGCAAGAUUGUCUGAACUGUGCGCGUGCGCGUUGCCUACGUCCUGCCAAUCACCCGGACUCUGCCAACAGGCCCACCUGUGAGCAAUCAGCGCAUCACCUCUCCCGCUUCGGUCCACCACACGCUUGGCUACAACCUUUGCGUCGUCUCUCCUGCAUAUCAACCGCGGCUCUUCUCCCACUCCA